rnacentral:rRNA from 1 species
GAUGAACGCUGGCGGCGUGCUUAACACAUGCAAGUCGAACGGAAAGGCUCCUGCUUGCAGGGGUACUCGAGUGGCGAACGGGUGAGUAACACGUGGGUGAUCUGCCCUGCACUUCGGGAUAAGCCUGGGAAACUGGGUCUAAUACCGGAUAGGACCACAUUUUGGAUGGUGUGGUGGAAAGUUUUUCGGUGUGGGAUGAGCUCGCGGCCUAUCAGCUUGUUGGUGGGGUAAUGGCCUACCAAGGCGUCGACGGGUAGCCGGCCUGAGAUGGUGUACGGCCACAUUGGGACUGAGAUACGGCCCAGACUCCUACGGGAGGCAGCAGUGGGGAAUAUUGCACAAUGGGCGCAAGCCUGAUGCAGCGACGCCGCGUGGGGGAUGACGGCCUUCGGGUUGUAAACUCCUUUCGCUAGGGACGAAGCGUUUUUGUGACGGUACCUGGAGAAGAAGCACCGGCUAACUACGUG